CCUGGGGGUUAUUGUCAGGACUGUACAGGUCUCCAGGCUUCUGACCCCGCUGGUCCAUGCUAUAAUAUUUACAAUGAUUCCACUGGACCAUGGAUGUGUUCUGGGGAGGUUGGGGUCCAUUAGGGACAUUCAGCUGCAUGACCACCACACCUGGUCCGGAAGGUGACACUCCUGAGUAGCAGGAAAAAAGUAGUUGAUUGAGAAUUCAAACUAUAUUUUCGCCUUCCAGUUAUCCCUGAGUGGGAAAGCCUGUAAGCAAAUCCACCUGCUCACUUACGGUCACUCAAAACCAUGUCCCACCACAAAUCUGUUAUGGUUGCUGAUUUGGAAGAUGAGUCCCAGAUGCCACCAAUGCUCUCCUGGUCUUCACCUGGUAACAGGCACUCUCACAUGUUUGGCAGAAAAAAUACUCCAUUCUAUCAAAGCUGGGCAUUAACAAAUACCAAGGUCAGAUUGCUCAAAUACAGGUGGUGGUCUGGUGGAUCAGCCAGGUCUGCAAACACAUGCAAACUUUCCUGGUAAGGGCUACAGAUAAGUCAGUGAUCUCUGACUCUUCUGGAGAUGUAUAUAGUUUCAUGAAGCCAGACUUAGGAAGUGUCCUGGCCAGUGGUGAGGUGAGCUGAGAAACAUUUCAAACAGAAGAAAUGGCAUAGUGAUACAUGUCAUAUUUGGGAAAUGACAAAUGAUUCGAGGUGCUAAGACACAAGGCCUAUGCAGAGAAAUUAAAAGAUUCUAUCAAAUGUUUAUUGUGUGCCAGUCCUUAUGCUGGGCACUCAGUGUACAACAAAAAAGCCCAGUCUCUGCCGUCACAGAAUGGACAGUUUAUUAAGAAGUUAGACAUUAAACACAUAGUUGAUGCCAGCCAGGUGUGGUAGCGCAUGCCUGUAAUCCCAGCACUCUGGAGGCUGAGGCACGAGGAUCAAAGCAAGUUUGAGGCCAGCCUGGGCUACAUAGUGAGACCCUGUCUCAAAAAACAAAACAAAACAAAGCAAAACAACACAAAUAGCUGAUUUCAGAGUGGGAAGUACAUUCUCAUAAGAUGUUUGCAUGUUUAUCCUGAAAAUGCUGGGAUAUGACUGGUGGAGAGAGAACCCACAUGGCCAAAUGCAGGUUAGUGAAGGGAGGGAGACUAGUGGCAGGGAGAACAUUCAGGAAGCUCCUGAAAGAGAUGAGGUUUUGAAUGAAGGCAAUGCCAGAGGACAAUGGGAGGGGCAGAUACUCUGAAGGUUACACCAACAGGUGACGGACAGAAUGCAACCCUAAGGUUUAGGGGUAACCAUGGUUAGCCACAUCCACUCACAGGAUAGAGAAAGGGAAGGACACAAUGAAGUAGAAUACUGAUUUUAAAUCUUCCUCAAGAUAAAAGGCCAAGUAAAAGGGCCAGGGAUUUAGCUCAGUGGCACCGCACCUGCCUUGCAAGCACAAGGUCCUGAGUUGAUCCCCAGUACCAAAAAAAAAAAAGGCCAAGUAAGAAAUCAGGCAGAAGCAGCUUUUUUUUUUUUUGGUACUGGGGAUCGAACUCGGGUCCUUGCACUUGUGGGGCAGGCAGCAGAACCACUGAGCUAAAUCCCCAGCCCAGGCAGAAGCAGUUUGAUGGACAGUCCCUGCUAUGAGGGAUAGGUAGGAAUUCUGCCUCCUCACAUGAGACUGUCUAGAUUGAGAUUUUACUCUUGACCUCCCCCAUCUAUAUCCCUUUUGAGACUGAGUUUGUGUGUGUGGAGGUAGAGAAGUGGGAGCUGGGGGUUACUGGCUUGAAAACUUGCUGCAAUGCUGGUGUUUUCAUGGCCUGGUGCUCUAGGGCUACCACCACAUUGCUUCCUGUGAUGGGAAAUGUGCAGCCCUGGGCACUAGUCAUGCUGGGAGGUGAGUGUGAUUGCUUUUCUUAGGUAGCAUCAGUCAACAGAAAGGAAAAAAAAUGGCAGGAAGUCUGAGAGCGGAGUUUAGGAGACACAACAUCUGUCAGAUCCUAUUCCCAGGCCAAUUUGUGCCCCUCAUCCUCUAGGGCUCAUCCAAUC
rnacentral:lncRNA from 1 species